UUUUAUGAGAGUUUGAUCCUGGCUCAGGACGAACGCUGGCGGCGUGCCUAAUACAUGCAAGUCGAACGCUUCUUUUUCCAACGGAGCUUGCUCCACCGGAAAAAGAAGAGUGGCGAACGGGUGAGUAACACGUGGGUAACCUGCCCAUCAGAAGGGGAUAACACUUGGAAACAGGUGCUAAUACCGUAUAACAAUCAAAACCGCAUGGUUUUGAUUUGAAAGGCGCUUUCGGGUGUCGCUGAUGGAUGGACCCGCGGUGCAUUAGCUAGUUGGUGAGGUAACGGCUCACCAAGGCCACGAUGCAUAGCCGACCUGAGAGGGUGAUCGGCCACAUUGGGACUGAGACACGGCCCAAACUCCUMCGGGAGGCAGCAGUAGGGAAUCUUCGGCAAUG
rnacentral:rRNA from 1 species